AGCGUCCCUCUCUCCUGCCUGCCCACGCCCUCGUCCCUGCUGAGAUCCUAAGGCCUGGGCAGAGCAUGCUUGACCCUGGGGUCAGCAGGCAGCAGGCGAGGGGGGCUGUGCAUCCAGAAGGCCGUGGCCACGUGAAGUGUCUCUGGAUAUCCUGGGACAUGGAACUGGGGCUGGGUGCAGGGUGCUCUCCCAGGAAGAGCCAGACCCUGGCCUGGCUGACAGAUGAAGGUGACCACUUCAGUCCUGUGCCAGGCUCUUGGCAGCUCUGGCUCUGCUGGGAAGGCCCACCUGAGUCUGAGGACCAGGGAAGGGACCUACGAAGUGACAUUGAAGAUGCCAGCUGUCAGGCAGACCCAGAGGAGGACAAGCAGGAAAAGAAUCAGGAUGCCCUCGAGAAGUUGGACCCUGAUGGAGGAAGGACGGAGCCAGAAGGGAAGGGCUGCCGCCCAGAGGAACCAGAGUCCGUCAAGCUGGAUGAGCCUCCAGGAAAAGAGGACCAAGACCAGCUGGGUGUGCUGCAUCCCGUACUCCACCAGAAGGAAGGCGAAGGAGAGCGUGUAGCAGCCUGGGACAAGGGCAUUGAUGACCACCCAGGUGUGAACCACUGAUCUGCUGGCUAAGCCAUGAUGCCAUCUUUUAAAAAGACACAAUAAAGUGUGAACAGAAGGUGUUCUCCUUCUCUGGUCCCGCUUGACAAUUCUCUGAAACGUGAUGGAGGGACGGGGUGUGAGCUCAGGGACAGGUGGCUGUGCCUCCCAAAUCACGUGUGCACGAUGGCAGCUGUGAUCACCCAGCCCUACCCUUCAGAUCCUAGGAACACCCGGAAGCAAAGUCAGAUCCCUUGGGGUCUGGGGGCAGGCUCUACUCUCAGAGAUGGCCUGCAAACUUGGCCCCAGUGAGAGCAGCCUGGAGGGAGGCUGGCGUGCUCCCCGAGGCCAAGAUGUGAGCAGGCCCAGAACUAAGCCAUUCUUGCAGCUGGACGUGGAGGUCCCAGGGCCCGUGCCUCACAAGGGCCCCUGCCUUGGGCAUCAAGGCUCCGGAGAUGCUGCUUGCGGGGACAAGGGGCAGGGGCAGAGGAUCAUACAAAGGAAGCUUGACAAGGGGUUCAGACUGUGUUUGUUCAAACCACCACAGGCCAAGUGAGCAAAUAUUUUUCAUUUCAUGUGGCCCAACCAAAUGCUGAGAAGGCAGCACACACACCUUGCUCACUCUUAUACACACACAUGCAUGCUUGAGUGCACAAGCAUGUGUACAUGCACACUCACACAUGCAUGUGUACAUGUACACAUAGUGUGCAUUGUGCAUGGAUACAUACAUCUACACACCAUGCACGCACACACACGUGCACAUGGACACGGGCACACAUGCACACAUGUGUUAUAUGUGGGCGCAUAUACACUUGCACACAGAGCACACGUGUGGGCAGUCACACCCACAUAUAUAUACACACGUGCAUGCACACACACAAGCAUACAGGACCACGUGGUCUGGUGACACGCAGCAUCUGAGGGUGAGGAAUAUCUGGGCCCGGAGGUCAGAGGGGUCAGACAGAUGAACCUCUCAGGUGCCCAUCUUGUGUGCAGGUGGGUUGGGCACCACGGUUCCUCUGCUCCAAUGCUGUCCGUCUGGGAACAGGGAGCCUCAGAGCAGCUGGAAAAUGCGUGCUGAGUUGCAAGCAUGGAAACUGGCUUCCCUGGCCGGGUGUAUGGGGCUGCAGCCUUGCUGUCACAGGACCAGAUCACAGACGCACGGAGGACCUCAGCCACCCUAGGCACAGGGGCCGCUGCUUGUCCCCCUGGAAAGGAGAUGUGGAACAUCUGUGUCCCAGCCCCCAAACAGGCAGGCCCUAUCCCUGCCCAAAUUCGAACUGCUGUCACCAACUAGAACGGCACCCAGGAAGCUUCUGCAGAGACAGCUGUGCUGCCCCUUGCUUGGCCAGGAGGGAGGAGUAGACCUCCAUGUCUGGGGCCCAGGGGUACUACCACACAGAGCAGCACUGCCAGACUGGCUUUGCUGGUUCCUCUGUGACCAUGCUCAGCUGCAGGCCAGGAGGGAGACAGGGCCUGGGUGGCCUGCUGUCCAUUCGUCUGUCGUUCAUCCCUUGUCAUGGUGAGUGGCUGCUGGCCUCUUAGGGCCUAGGAAGCAGGGAGGCCCCACGUGUGCACAGCAUGGCUACCUUGGUUGCAGCCUUUCAGCAGUUAAGAUGCAUGAGUCUUUUCAUUAAGCCUCUGAACCUCAAGGUUUGAGGUAGCUCUGUUCCAUGUGGCCUGGGGCUGUCUGCUGGGGAACCAGUCUAGGGCAGGCCUGGGGGUAACUGGAGAGGCUUGGCCUGCAGAUGUGGUGGUUUUGGCUCCGGUCUCCUAGCCACAUGCCCAGUCCCUGAGCUGCCGGCAGGGGUGGCCCUGGAAGCCAGAGGGUCUUGUGGGAGGGGACACACCAGGAAAAUGUCAAGCCUCCAUCGCAGGCGUGCACCUCUGCCCUUGCCGAGGCUUCCAUGGAGCAGGCACAGCCCUCUCUUGCCAGAGAAAUGCACCAGUCCCGGGGGCGAGGUGGGGUGGAGCAGGCGUGGACACCGAGCAAGAGCACUCAGCCCUGAGGGCACCUGUUCUCGCGCAGUAGGGGCCAAGCACUUACUGCCGGGGACAUGGCACGCUUGGAAGCCAGAAGGAAACCAGAGCGUUCAGCUCGAGGCCUUCAGCAGCCGCCCAGGGCUUGGCUGAUGGCCCCAGGUGAUGGCUCCCAGCCUGACCUGGUUUCGUCCUUGACUCUCUGCCGGCCUCCACCUACUCUGCGAGAGGCCCACAGAACCGCCCUGGGGCAGGGCCAGGAUGGGCGGCUCACCGCCCCGCUCACCCUCCUUGCCUCCAGCCUUUCAAUGUUGUCCCCUUCACUUCAAAGCCAAUAUGCAUCUUCCUUGUGGGGACUAACAAAAACCAUUGAAUUUGUUCUCUCUUUUAGACUCUCUGUUAGAAUUUUCAUGUAUUUCUCUCUCUCUCUCUCUCUCUCUCUCUAUAUAUAUAUAUAAAGAGCUAUGUAUGGAGACAGAUGGAUAAAUACAGCUCGUUUCCAAAAUCGG